rnacentral:rRNA from 1 species
CAGUAGCCGCGGGAAAACGGAGGGUGCAAGCGUUAUCCGGAUUUAUUGGGUUUAAAGGGUCCGUAGGCGGAUCUGUAAGUCAGUGGUGAAAUCUCACAGCUUAACUGUGAAACUGCCAUUGAUACUGCAGGUCUUGAGUAAAUUUGAAGUGGCUGGAAUAAGUAGUGUAGCGGUGAAAUGCAUAGAUAUUACUUAGAACACCAAUUGCGAAGGCAGGUCACUAAGAUUUAACUGACGCUGAUGGACGAAAGCGUGGGGAGCGAACAGGAUUAGAUACCCCUGUAGUCCCUGUCUCUUAUAU